UACGUAGGGUGCGAGCGUUGUCCGGAAUUACUGGGCGUAAAGAGCUCGUAGGUGGUUUGUCGCGUUUGUUCGUGAAAUCUCACGGCUUAACUGUGAGCGUGCGGGCGAUACGGGCAGACUAGAGUACUGCAGGGGGAGACUGGAAUUCCUGGUGUAGCGGUGGAAUGCGCAGAUAUCUGGAGGAACACCGGUGGCGAAGGCGGUUUCUCUGG
rnacentral:rRNA from 1 species